UAAGGAAUAUUGCUCAAUGGGAGAAAUCCUGAAGCAGCAACGCCGCGUGAGGGAUGAAGGGCUUUUGCUUGUAAACCUCUGUAGUGAGAGAAAAAACUCCAAUCUUUGGAGCAUGAUGGUAUCUCAAAAGUAAGCCCCGGCUAACUACGUGCCAGCAGCCGCGGUAAUACGUAGGGGGCAAACGUUGUCCGGAUUUACUGGGUGUAAAGGGUGCUCAGGCGGUUUUGUAAGUCAGAAGUGAAAUCCUAGGGCUUAACUCUGGAACUGCUUUUGAUACUGCAAGGCUUGAAUAUGGAAGAGGAGGGCGGAAUUUCUGGUGUAGCAGUGAAAUGCGUAGAUAUCAGAAAGAACACCAGUGGCGAAGGCGGCCCUCUGGUCCAUUAUUGACGCUAAAGCACGAAAGCGUGGGGAGCAAACAGG
rnacentral:rRNA from 1 species